UAAUAGAUACCCGGGUAGUCCACGCCGUAAACGGUGGGUGCUAGGUGUGGGAGACUAUCUACGUUUUCCGCGCCGCAGCUAACGCAUUAAGCACCCCGCCUGGGGAGUACGGCCGCAAGGCUAAAACUCAAAGGAAUUGACGGGGGCCCGCACAAGCGGCGGAGCAUGCGGCUUAAUUCGAUGCAACGCGAAGAACCUUACCUAGGCUUGACAUAUACGGGAAGCAGGCAGAGAUGUCUGUGCCUUCGGGCUCGUAUACAGGUGGUGCAUGGCUGUCGUCAGCUCGUGUCGCGAGAUGUUGGGUUAAGUCCCGCAACGAGCGCAACCCUCGCCCUAUGUUGCCAGCGGGUAAUGCCGGGGACUCAUAGGAGACUGCCGGGGUCAACUCGGAGGAAGGUGGGGACGACGUCAAGUCAUCAUGCCCCUUACGUCUAGGGCUGCACGCAUGCUACAAUGGCCGGUACAAAGGGCUGCAAUACCGCAAGGUUGAGCGAAUCCCAAAAGGCCGGUCUCAGUUCGGAUUGGGGU
rnacentral:rRNA from 1 species